UUGAUAUAUCCUGAUGCAAGGUAUUGUAUGUAAUUAUCCAUUUUAACUAUUACAGCAGAAAAUGAAAUUGUCUGUAACAUCAAACACCUGUCUGCCAGUAGAGUGUGUUGGGAUUGUCUGCCAAGUCAUAGGCAAUCAGCAAUGCUUGAAUGGGCUUUGGGGACAGAUGACCCAGAUGAGACAAUUGCCAAAGUUGGAAACUUGGUUCUGAGAAGGAAAGAUUUCUGUACUCUAGGUCUCAAUGAGCUGUUAGAGGCAACAAUUGCAAACAGCUGUCUUGAGGUAAUCGCAUUGGUGGCUAAGGAACGAGGAAUGGAUGUGUGGACAGCCAACGCAUAUGUUGUGGUGAC